rnacentral:rRNA from 1 species
CCAAUAGCGUAUAUUAAAGUUGUUGCAGUUAAAAAGCUCGUAGUUGAAUUUCGGGAUCAAUAUGUCGGUCGUGCCUUCGGUACGUACUGGUAUCAUUGGUUUCUCCUUUCUGACGAACCAUGAUGUCAUUAAUUUGGUGUUAUGGGGCGUUAGGACUGUUACUUUCAAAAAAUUAGAGUGUUUAAAGCAGGCUUUAGCUUGAAUACAUUAGCAUGGAAUAAUGAAAUAGGACGUUCGAACCUAUUUUGUUGGUUUCUAGGAUCAACGUAAUGAUUAAUAGGGAUAGUUGGGGGCAUUAGUAUUCAAUUGUCAGAGGUGAAAUUCUUGGAUUUAUUGAAGACUAACUACUGCGAAAGCAUUUGCCAAGGAUGUAUUCAUUAAUCAAGAACGAAAGUUAGGGGAUCGAAGACGGUCAGAUACCGUAGUAGUCUUAACCAUAAACUAUGCCGACUAGGGAUCGGAUGAUGUUAAUUUUUUAAUGACUCAUUCGGCGCCUUACG